AUACGGAGGGUGCAAGCGUUGUUCGGAAUUAUUGGGCGUAAAGCGGGUGUAGGCGGCCAGGUAAGUCGGAUGUGAAAUCCCUGGGCUCAACCCAGGAACUGCAUUCGAAACUGCACGGCUAGAGUCUCGGAGAGGGUGGCGGAAUUCCCGGUGUAGAGGUGAAAUUCGUAGAUAUCGGGAGGAACACCAGUGGCGAAGGCGGCCACCUGGACGAUGACUGACGCUCAGACCCGAAAGCGUGGGGAGCAAACAGGAUUAGAAACCCCAGUAGUCC
rnacentral:rRNA from 1 species